rnacentral:rRNA from 1 species
CCUACGGGUGGCAGCAGUGGGGAAUAUUGGGCAAUGGGCGCAAGCCUGACCCAGCAACGCCGCGUGAAGGAAGAAGGCUCUCGGGUUGUAAACUUCUUUUAUCAGGGACGAAACAAAUGAUGGUACCUGAUGAAUAAGACACGGCUAACUACGGGCCAGCAGCCGCGGUAAUACGUAGGUGGCAAGCGUUAUCCGGAUUUACUGGGUGUAAAGGGCGUGUAGGCGGGCGAGCAAGUCAGGUGUGAAAUUCCAGGGCUCAACCCUGGAACUGCGUUUGAAACUGUGCUUCUUGAGUGAAGGAGAGGCAGGCGGAAUUCCGUGUGUAGCGGUGAAAUGCGUAGAUAUACGGAGGAACACCAGUGGCGAAGGCGGCCUGCUGGACAUUAACUGACGCUGAGGCGCGAAAGCGUGGGGAGCAAACAGGAUUAGAUACCCGUGUAGUC